GACGAACGCUGGCGGCGUGCCUAACACAUGCAAGUCGAACGGAGAGGCCCUGCCUUUGUUGGGUGCACGAGUUGCGAACGGGUGAGUAACACGUAGGUAACCUGCCCUGGACUGGGGGAUAACUUCAGGAAACUGGGGCUAAUACCGCAUAGGAGUUCCUGCUGCAUGGUGUUGGCUGGAAAGUUUCGGUGGUUGGGGAUGGACUUGGGGCUUAUGAGCUUUAUGGUGGGGUAGUGGCAUCCCAUUGCCAUGGCGGCUAGCCAGCCUGAGAGGGUGACCGGCCACAUUGGGCCUCGGGUGGGGGCCAGAGGCCUACGUGAGGAAGCAGUGGAGGACAUUGCACGAUGGGCGGAAGCCUGAUGCAGCAACGCCGGGUGCGGGAUGACGGCCGUCGGGGUGUAAAGCGCUUGCGCCUGUAACGAAGCGAGAGUGACGGUAACUGGUAAAGAAGCACCGGCUAACUACGUG
rnacentral:rRNA from 1 species